rnacentral:rRNA from 1 species
CGAGUGGCGAACGGGUGAGUAAUGCAUCGGAACGUGCCCAAUCGUGGGGGAUAACGCAGCGAAAGCUGUGCUAAUACCGCAUACGAUCUACGGAUGAAAGCGGGGGAUCGCAAGACCUCGCGCGAUUGGAGCGGCCGAUAUCAGAUUAGGUUGUUGGUGAGGUAAAAGCUCACCAAGCCGACGAUCUGUAGCUGGUCUGAGAGGACGACCAGCCACACUGGAACUGAGACACGGUCCAGACUCC